rnacentral:rRNA from 1 species
AGGGGUUUGAUCCUGGGCUCAGAGCGAACGCUGGCGGCGUGCUUAACACAUGCAAGUCGAGCGAGAAAGCCCCUUCGGGGGUGAGUAGAGCGGCGGACGGGUGAGUAAUGCGUGAACAACCUGCCUUUAGGACUGGGAUAACUAUGGGAAACUGUAGCUAAUACCGGAUAAGACCACGACUUCUACGGAUAUUGAGGUAAAAGGUGGCCAGCUUGCUGGCUAUCACCUUUAGAUGGGUUCACGUUCCAUCAGGUUGUUGGUGAGGUAACGGCUCACCAAGCCUAAGACGGAUAGUUGGCCUUAGCGGGUGGCCAACCACACGGGGACUGAGACACGGCCCCGACUCCUACGGGAGGCAGCAGUGAGGAAUAUUGGGCNAAUGGGCGAAAGCCUGACNCAGCGACGUCGCGUGGGGGAUGAAGGCCUUCGGGUCGUAAACCCUUGUCAUAGGGGAAGAUGGGUAUGUGNGCUAAUACCACACAUACUUGACGGUACCCUAAAAGGAAGCCCCGGCUAACUCCGUGCCAGNAGCCGCGGGUAAUACGGAGGGGGCAAGCGUUGCNCGGAAUUACUGGGCGUAAAGGGUCCCGCAGGUGGGUUUUGCCAGUUAGAUGUUGAAAGCUCANGGCUUCAACCCGGGAAACUGCAUCUAAUACUAC